GCAUCCUUAGCUCAGCUGGUAGAGCGGCGCUCUUACAAAGCGUAGGCCGGAGGUUCGAACCCAUCCAGGAUGCACCA
rnacentral:tRNA from 1 species